rnacentral:lncRNA from 1 species
CAACUGAAUCGGAUGCUCGCUGUUAAUGUAGCCAUCUUUCUUCGCUUGCAAGAUUACUUCUUCACUAUCCCAGCACCAACACCACUGUCACCACCACCGUCCAUCGCUCCAUCACUAUACCAACACCAACACCACUGUCACCACAACAUCCAUCACUCCAUCACUAUCCCAACACCAAUACCACUGUCACCACAACAUCCAUC